rnacentral:rRNA from 1 species
GACGAACGCUGGCGGCGUGCUUAACACAUGCAAGUCGAACGGAAAGGCCCUGCUUUUGUGGGGUGCUCGAGUGGCGAACGGGUGAGUAACACGUGAGUAACCUGCCCUUGACUUUGGGAUAACUUCAGGAAACUGGGGCUAAUACCGGAUAGGAGCUCCUGCUGCAUGGUGGGGGUUGGAAAGUUUCGGCGGUUGGGGAUGGACUCGCGGCUUAUCAGCUUGUUGGUGGGGUAGUGGCUUACAAAGGCUUUGACGGGUAGCCGGCCUGGGAGGGUGACCGGCCACAUUGGGACUGCGGUACGGCCCAGACUCCUACGGGAGGCAGCAGUGGGGAAUAUUGCACAAUGGGCGGAAGCCUGAUGCAGCAACGCCGCGUGCGGGAUGACGGCCUUCGGGUUGUAAACCGCUUUGGCCUGUGACGAAGCGUGAGUGACGGUAAUGGGUAAAGAAGCACCGGCUAACUACGUG